rnacentral:piRNA from 1 species
AACCAAAUUAAAUGUUGCUAUUUUCCGGA